UGCAGUUGAUACUGGAUGUCUUGAGUGCAGUUGAGGCAGGCGGAAUUCGUGGUGUAGCGGUGAAAUGCUUAGAUAUCACGAAGAACUCCGAUUGCGAAGGCAGCCUGCUAAGCUGCAACUGACAUUGAGGCUCGAAAGUGUGGGUAUCAAACAGGAUUAGAUACCCUGGUAGUCCACACGGUAAACGAUGGAUACUCGCUGUUUGCGAUAUACGGCAAGCGGCCAAGCGAAAGCGUUAAGUAUUCCACCUGGGGAGUACGCCGGCAACGGUGAAACUCAAAGGAAUUGACGGGGGCCCGCACAAGCGGAGGAACAUGUGGUUUAAUUCGAUGAUACGCGAGGAACCUUACCCGGGCUUAAAUUGCACUCGAAUGAUCCGGAAACGGUUCAGCUAGCAAUAGCGAGUGUGAAGGUGCUGCAUGGUUGUCGUCAGCUCGUGCCGUGAGGUGUCGGCUUAAGUGCCAUAACGAGCGCAACCCUUGUUGUCAGUUACUAACAGGUGAUGCUGAGGACUCUGACAAGACUGCCAUCGUAAGAUGUGAGGAAGGUGGGGAUGACGUCAAAUCAGCACGGCCCUUACGUCCGGGGCUACACACGUGUUACAAUGGGGGGUACAGAGGGCCGCUACCACGCGAGUGGAUGCCAAUCCCUAAAACCCCUCUCAGUUCGGACUGGAGUCUGCAACCCGACUCCACGAAGCUGGAUUCGCUAGUAAUCGCGCAUCAGCCACGGCGCGGUGAAUACGUUCCCGGGCCUUGUACACACCGCCCGUCAAGCCAUGGGAGCCGGGGGUACCUGAAGUGCGUAACCGCGAGGAUCGCCCUAGGGUA
rnacentral:rRNA from 1 species